rnacentral:rRNA from 1 species
UACGGGGGGAGCAAGCGUUGUUCGGAUUUACUGGGCGUAAAGGGCGCGUAGGCGGUCAGCACAAGUCAGUUGUGAAAUCUCCGGGCUUAACUCGGAAAGGUCAACUGAUACUGUGCGACUAGAGUGCGGAAGAGGCGAGUGGAAUUCCUGGUGUAGCGGUGAAAUGCGCAGAUAUCAGGAGGAACACCAAUUGCGAAGGCAGCUCGCUGGGACGUUACUGACGCU